AUUGAACGCUGGCGGCAGGCCUAACACAUGCAAGUCGAACGAGUGGCGGACGGGUGAGUAAUGUCUGGGAAACUGGCUGAUGGAGGGGGAUAAAUACUGGAAAAGGUAGCUAAUACCGCAUAACAUCGGAGGUGGCCAGAUGGGAUUAUCUAGUAGGGGGGGUAAAGGCUCACCUAGGCGAAGAUCCCGAGCUGGUCUGAGAGGAAGACCGGCCACACUGGAACUGAUACACGUUCCAGACUCCUACGGGAGGCAGCAGUGGGGAAUAUUGCACAAUGGGCGCAAUCCUGAUACAGCCAUGCCGCGUGUAUGAAGACGGCCUUCGGGUUGUAAAGUACUUUCAGCGUGGAGGCGUUACCCGAAGAAGAAGCACCGGCUAACUCCGUGCCAGCAGCCGCGGUAAUUC
rnacentral:rRNA from 1 species